rnacentral:tRNA from 1 species
GCCCUGAUGGCACAGUGGAACUGCGCAAGCUUGGAGAGCUUGUUUCCCUUUGGGAUACCUAGNUUCGAUUCCUGGUCAGGGCG